AUAAAGUUUAAACUUUUUUUAGAA
rnacentral:tRNA from 1 species